rnacentral:rRNA from 1 species
GAUCAUGGCUCAGAUUGAACGCUGGCGGAAUGCUUUACACAUGCAAGUCGAACGGUAACAGGUUAAGCUGACGAGUGGCGAACGGGUGAGUAAUGCAUCGGAACGUGCCCGAUCGUGGGGGAUAACGCAGCGAAAGCUGCGCUAAUACCGCAUACGAUCUACGGAUGAAAGCGGGGGAUCGCAAGACCUCGCGCGAUUGGAGCGGCCGAUAUCAGAUUAGGUAGUUGGUGGGGUAAAGGCUCACCAAGCCAACGAUCUGUAGCUGGUCUGAGAGGACGACCAGCCACACUGGAACUGAGACACGGUCCAGACUCCUACGGGAGGCAGCAGUGGGAAUUUGGACAAUGGACGAAAGUCUGAUCCAGCCAUUCCGCGUGCAGGAUGAAGGCCCUCGGGUUGUAAACUGCUUUUGUACGGAACGAAAAGGUUUCUCUUAAUACGAGGAGCUCAUGACGGUACCGUAAGAAUAAGCACCGGCUAACUACGUG